rnacentral:rRNA from 1 species
GACGAACGCUGGCGGCGUGCUUAACACAUGCAAGUCGUGCGGUAAGGCCCUUUCGGGGGUACACGAGCGGCGAACGGGUGAGUAACACGUGAGCAACCUGCCCUUCACUUUGGGAUAACUGCCGGAAACGGUGGCUAAUACCGGAUAUGACUUCCUCACGCAUGUGGGGUGGUGGAAAGCCUUCGGGUGGUGGGGGAUGGGCUCGCGGGCUAUCAGCUUGUUGGUGGGGUGAUGGCCUACCAAGGCUUCGACGGGUAGCCGGCCUGAGAGGGUGACCGGCCACACUGGGACUGAGAUACGGCCCAGACUCCUACGGGAGGCAGCAGUGGGGAAUAUUGGACAAUGGGCGGAAGCCUGAUCCAGCAACGCCGCGUGAGGGAUGACGGCCUUCGAGUUGUAAACCUCUUUCGCCUGCGACGAAGCGAGAGUGACGGUAGCAGGUAAAGAAGCACCGGCCAACUACGUG